UUGUCUGAGAAAGAGGUUUUUGAACGCUACUUCCCACAUUGACGAAGAGUUUUUAAUGGAGGAGAACAUGGUAUCAGGGUGAGGAGGACCCUUGCUAGCUGCCCCCUGUGUUGUGUCUAGUGCUUGUCUUGUCCUGAAUGCCUGAAGCUUGACUGAGAAAGAGGUUUUUGAACGCUACUUCCCACAUUGAUGAAGAGUUUUUAAUAGAGGAGAACAUGGUAUCAGGGUGAGGAGGACCCUUGCUAGCUGCCCCCUGUGUUGUGUCUAGUGCUUGUCUUGUCCUGAAUGCCUGAAGCUUGUCUGAGAAAGAGGUUUUUGAACGCUACUUCCCACAUUGACGAAGAGUUUUUAAUAGAGGAGAACAUGGUAUCAGGGUGAGGAGGACCCUUGCUAGCUGCCCCCUGUGUUGUGUCUAGUGCUUGUCUUGUCCUGAAUGUCUGAAGCUUGACUGAGAAAGAGGUUUUUGAACGCUACUUCCCACAUUGACGAAGAGUUUUUAAUAGAGGAGAACAUGGUAUCAGGGUGAGGAGGACCCUUGCUAGCUGCCCCCUGUGUUGUGUCUAGUGCUUGUCUUGUCCUGAAUGCUUGAAGCUUGUCUGAGAAAGAGGUUUUUGAACGCUACUUCUCACAUUGAUGAGUUUUUAAUAGAGGAGAAUGUGGUAUCAGGGUGAGGAGGACCCUUGCUAGCUGCCCCCUGUGUUGUGUCUAGUGCUUGUCUUGUCCUGAAUGCUUGAAGCUUGUCUGAGAAAGAGGUUUUUGAACGCUACUUCUCACAUUGAUGAGUUUUUAAUAGAGGAGAAUGUGGUAUCAGGGUGAGGAGGACCCUUGCUAGCUGCCCCCUGUGUUGUGUCUAGUGCUUGUCUUGUCCUGAAUGCCUGAAGCUUGACUGAGAAAGAGGUUUUUGAACGCUACUUCUCACAUUGAUAAAGAGUUUUUAAUAGAGGAGAACGUGGUAUCAGGGUGAGGAGGACCCUUGCUAGCUGCCCCCUGUGUUGUGUCUAGUGCUUGUCUUGUCCUGAAUGUCUGAAGCUUGUCUGAGAAAGAGGUUUUUGAACGGUACUUCUCACAUUGAUGAGUUUUUAAUAGAGGAGAACGUGGUAUCAGGGUGAGAAGGACCCUUGCUAGCUGCCCCCUGUGUUGUGUCUAGUGCUUGUCUUGUCCUGAAUGUCUGAAGCUUGACUGAGAAAGAGCUUUUUGAACGCUAC